GGUCAAGGGAUGGGAAUCGAACCCACGACCUUCCGCUUACCGGGCAGAUGCCAUGACCACUAGGCUACUCUGGAC
rnacentral:tRNA from 1 species